rnacentral:rRNA from 1 species
UACGUAGGGUGCAGGCGUUAAUCGGAAUUACUGGGCGUAAAGCGUGCGCAGGCGGCUUCCUAAGUCAGAUGUGAAAUCCCCGGGCUUAACCUGGGAACUGCGUUUGAAACUGGGAGGCUAGAGUGCGGCAGAGGGAGGUGGAAUUCCACGUGUAGCAGUGAAAUGCGUAGAUAUGUGGAGGAACACCGAUGGCGAAGGCAGCCUCCUGGGCCAGCACUGACGCUCAUGCACGAAAGCGUGGGGAGCAAACAGG